rnacentral:rRNA from 1 species
UACAGAGGUCUCAAGCGUUGUUCGGAUUCAUUGGGCGUAAAGGGUGCGUAGGUGGCGCUGUAAGUCGGGUGUGAAAUUUCGGAGCUUAACUCCGAAACUGCAUUCGAUACUGCGGUGCUUGAGGACUGGAGAGGAGACUGGAAUUCAUGGUGUAGCAGUGAAAUGCGUAGAGAUCAUGAGGAAGACCAGUGGCGAAGGCGGGUCUCUGGACAGUUCCUGACACUGAGACACGGAAGGCCAGGGGAGCAAACGGG